UACGUAGGGACCAAGCGUUGUUCGGAUUUACUGGGCGUAAAGGGCGCGUAGGCGGCAAUUCAAGUCAUCUGUGAAAUCUCCGGGCUUAACUCGGAACGGUCAGAUGAUACUGCUUUGCUAGAGUGCGGAAGGGGCAAUCGGAAUUCUUGGUGUAGCGGUGAAAUGCGUAGAUAUCAAGAGGAACACCUGAGGUGAAGACGGGUUGCUGGGCCGACACUGACGCUGAGUGCGCGAAAGCCAGGGAAGCAAACGGG
rnacentral:rRNA from 1 species